rnacentral:pre_miRNA from 8 species
UGAUCUGUGUUGAGUUUGUCCUGGCAGUUCCAAAGUGCUCACAGUGCAGGUAGUGCCAGUGGAUCUACUGCAAUGUCUGCACUUCAAGUAUUGCCGGACGCCUUCUGCCUGCCACUGUG